AAAACAACUACGAAGGGUGCAAGCGUUAAUCGGAAUUACUGGGCGUAAAGCGCGCGUAGGUGGUUUGUUAAGUUGAAUGUGAAAGCCCCGGGCUCAACCUGGGAACUGCAUCCAAAACUGGCAAGCUAGAGUAUGGCAGAGGGUGGUGGAAUUCCCGGUGUAGAGGUGAAAUUCGUAGAUAUCGGGAGGAAUACCAGUGGCGAAGGCGACCACCUGGCCAAAUACUGACGCUGAGGUGCGAAAGCGUGGGGAGCAAACAGG
rnacentral:rRNA from 1 species